GGUAUCUCAGACUGCCAACCUGCUGUGGAUAUCCCUCUAUAUAAAUAAAACACUGAUGGCCAGUGACCAGGCAGGAAGUAUAGGCAGGACAAGGAGAGAGGAGAAUUGGGGAAACAGGAAGAAGGAGGGAGAGACACUGCAGCCACCGCCAGGACA